GAUCCUGGCUCAGGACGAACGCUGGCGGCACGCCUAACACAUGCAAGUCGAACGGAGAUAAGGACUUCGGUUUUUAUCUUAGUGGCGGACGGGUGAGUAACACGUGAGCAACCUGCCUCUGAGAGAGGGAUAGCUUCUGGAAACGGAUGGUAAUACCUCAUAAUAUAGCGGUACCGCAUGAUACUGCUAUCAAAGAUUUAUCGCUCAGAGAUGGGCUCGCGUCUGAUUAG
rnacentral:rRNA from 1 species